AUGUCCUUCCAUUCAACGCUCGCCAUCAACUUCUCUCUAAUACUCACUCUGUCGUUCUUAGUAUCACGCCAAUAUCAUCAACCGUCACGCUUACUUCCGCAAGCUGAGUCAGUGCCUCUGCCCGUUCAUCAAUUCUCACGCGCACAACAAUAUUGUAUCUCCAGCCACCAUCGAAUUUCAGUCAUCAGCAUCAUCAGCUCCGCUUCAAGCAUCAUCCGCCGACGAGUUCUUUCGGCCUCUGUUCGUUCCUCACAGCUUGACGUCAUAAACUGUUCUGAAAAGAGGAGAAGAAAAACGUAG